UACGUAGGGGGCAAGCGUUGUCCGGAUUUAUUGGGCGUAAAGAGCGUGUAGGCGGUUUGGUAGGUCCGCUGUGAAAACUCGAGGCUCAACCUCGAGACGCCGGUGGAACAUCAGACUAGAGUCCGGAAGAGGAGAGUGGAAUUCCUGGUGUAGCGGUGAAAUGCGCAGAUAUCAGGAAGAACACCCGUGGCUAAGGCGGCUCUCUAGUACGGUACUGACGCUGAGACGCGAAAGCGUGGGGGAGCGAACAGG
rnacentral:rRNA from 1 species